GACGAACGCUGGCGGCGUGCUUAACACAUUCAAUUCGAACGUAAAGGCCCUGCUUUUUUGUUGUGCUCGAGUUGCUAACGGUUGCGUAACACGUGAGUACCCUUCCCUUUACUUUUUGAUCACUUCAUGCAACUGGGGCUAAUACCGGCUAUUAGCUCCUGCUUCCUGGUUUUGGUUGGAAAGUUUCGGCGGUUGGGGAUGGACUCGCGGCUUAUCAGCUUGUUGGUGGGGUAGUGGCUUACCAAGGCUUUGACGGGUAGCCGGCCUGAGAGGUUGACGGGAAAGAUGGGGAAUGAGAUACGGCCAAGAGUACUACGGGAGGCAGCAGUGGGGAAUAUUGCACAAUGGGCGGAAGCCUGAUGCAGCAACGCCGCGUGAGGGAUGACGGACUUAGGGUUGUAAACCGCUUUCGCCUGGGACGAAGCGUGAGUGACGGUAAUGGGUAAAGAAGCACCGGCUAACUACGUG
rnacentral:rRNA from 1 species